GUCAUGGUGGUUUAGUGGUAAAAUUCUUGCCUUCCAUGUAGAAGACUUCAGGUUCAAUUCCAGGCCAAUGCA
rnacentral:tRNA from 1 species